GCCCCAGACUCCAUGCUGCAUCCCCAGCAAGUGACCGGUCUGUCCAGGAGACCUCUUGCAGAGAAGCUCAUUUUGGGGUUUCUUUGUUCUGCCCGCUACUCCCCAUCAAGGAAGUUUCAACUGAGUUUAUCAGGGAUGUCUUGGAACUCUGACUGAGACACCUUCUUUGCUGGACCAUCCUUCAGACCAGCUCACCAGUCUGUGGAGACCAUAACCACGUCAAGCAUGGUGUAUUGCAUAGAUGGAGGGCAUCAUCCAGAGCACACCAGGCCAAGCAUACACUGU